ACACACCCCAGCCAUACAACCCAUCCACCAUUCUUUCAAAGGCCUCACCCCAACUUUCAAACUGGAGUACCACAAUCUGAAAAGCGUGUUUGACCAUAUUAGGCCACUUUUCUUGCUUGGAAAAUUUUCCUUGGACCGUCAAAGAGCACCUUAUAUAUGUAGUUUGUUUACUAAUUAAGUGUCAAACGCUUGAAACACACAGUCUGCGAGAUCAUUCUGUCAAUUUCCUUUUGUUUAUAGCUCUUGUUAUCCUUGUCAGUAUUCUCAAGAUGGAUGAGCGUCAUGAGAGACUGCGAGGGGCUGCUCAAGCAGGAAAUAACGAUGCACUGUAUGCAGUAAUUCGAGAGGGUGCAUAUCUUUUGGAUGGAAUUGAUCAGAUACCAUUCUUUGAUACCCCACUGCACAUAGCUGCAGAUGCGGGGCACACUGAUUUUGCCAUGGAGAUCAUGAACUUGAAGCCAUCACUAGCUUUAAAGUUGAACCAUGAUGGCUUUAGCCCUAUUCAACUUGCCUUGCAAAAUGGACGGUCCUUGAUCUCCCGGUAGUGGAUAAAGAUCUUGAUCGUGUAAAAGGAAAGGAGGGUAAAACUGCGUUGCACCACGUAGUUGGAGAAGCAGAUCUUAGGCUUCUACUCACAUUUCUCUUGUGUUGUCCUGAAUGUAUCAGAGAUGGGACAAAUCAAAAUGAGAUUGCUUUGCACAUUGCAGCGCAAAGAACCUACUGGAAGCUCUUCAAAUUCUAGUAGGUUGGCUUCGGAGGACACACCACAAAGAUGGAAAAUUAUGGGAAAAAGAAGUCCUCUAUUGGAAGAACAUGCUGUUGAAAGAUGAUUGAAACUUGGAUUGAAGUGUUUUGAAGGAAAGCUCGAUUGAUGCAUUGGAGUUUAAAGUUAGUUGUCUUAGCUGUCAAUGAAACGAAUCGUUUUGAUUUGUAUAAAGCUUUGGUUUGGUUAAACAACUAGUCAAGGUGUCGUUUUUUCAUGUUUAGUUGAAUCAUUUAGACAAAUGUCGUUUUAGUGUUUCUUCUUCAAUUGGUUGUUAACUUUCCAAAGACUUCAGUUCAGUUUUCUGUUAAUCUAUUGUUAGAUUCUUUAACAAACCCGAUUCUUGAGGAUUAGUUAGUUGUGUGAGUAAUUGUUGUAUAAAUACCAAGACUGUAUUAAGAAUCUUGGUGUGAAUGAAAAAAACCAAUUUGUAGUUUUUUUUUUUUUCUCUGUUCAAUUCUUUCUCUGUUUUAGUAUUCAAGAAAUACUUCUGAGUUUUCACAACAUGGUAUCAAAGCGAUUAAGUUCUCGAGGGACCAAAACCAUUCUGUUUUUUUAGUUGGUCUUCAGUAAUUUGCUGCUUUAAUCAGUGUUGAUUGAGUCAUGGCUUCAUCCAGUUAUAAUGCCUUAGCUCCCCCAAUUUUCUCAGGAGAAAAUUACACAAUUUGGUUAGUCAAAAUGAAGACGUUUCUCAGAGCUUUUGAUCUUUGGGAAGUGAUUGAAGUUGGAGGAGAAACUCUAGUCUAAAGGCACGCAAAUCUUACUCUUGCUCAAAUAAAGCAGCACAGUGAGGAAGUGGCUAAGAGAUGGUAAAACUUUUAUUAGAAUGUGGGAUCGAUAAGAACGCCAAGAACUGGAGAGGGUUGACAGCAAUGGGAAUCUUACAAGGCCAAGCCCGAGUCGGCAACAGAUAGACUUAAUUUGUCAAUUCUUAGUAAGUAAGCAAGCAAAACUGGUAAACAAAUUCUCAUUCCUCUCAAUUAUGAAUCAAACUGAUAGCUGAUAAAGCCAGUGAUUCCUCCAAGGUUACCAUGCAUGCACUUUCCAAGCAUUUCUUCAGGAAUUCAAAGUCUGCCACCGUAACUUAGUAAAUGCUACCCAAAAUAAUCAACAAUUUCUUUUUUA